rnacentral:rRNA from 1 species
AUUGAACGCUGGCGGCAUGCCUUACACAUGCAAGUCGAACGGCAGCGGGGGAGAAGCUUGCUUUUCCUGCCGGCGAGUGGCGGACGGGUGAGUAAUACAUCGGAACGUGCCCUGUAGUGGGGGAUAACUAGUCGAAAGAUUAGCUAAUACCGCAUACGACCUGAGGGUGAAAGUGGGGGACCGCAAGGCCUCAUGCUCUAGGAUCGGCGGAUGUCUGAUUAGCUAGUUGGUGGGGUAAAGGCCCACCAAGCCGACGAUCUGUAGCGGGUAUGAGAGGACGACCAGCCCCACGGGGCCGUGUACACGGCCCAGAGUCCAACGGGAGGCAGCAGUGUGGAAUUGUGGAGAAUGGGCGCAAGCCUGAUCCAGCCAUGCAGCGUGCAGGAUGAAUGACGUCGGGUUGUAAACUACUGUUGUACUGAACGAAAAGGUUUGACUUAAUACGUUGGACUCAUGACGGUACCGUAAGAAUAAGCACCGGCUAACUACGUGCCAGCAGCCGCAGUAA